GAGUGAUCUAAAGAAAAGAUAUUUCACAAAUUUAUCUACUGAUUGGAAGAGGAUCUAUGAGCUUGAUAAGAGAGUUCCUCCAUUUAAUUGGAUGACUCUCAUUAUCGAGUGGGAGGGUGAGAAGAAGAUCAAAGCUAUACGAUCACUUUUUAGGAGCUACUUCUUAUGCUCAGAUCGAGCAUAAGUAUUUGAGCGAAAACCCGGCGGCGCUGGAAGCUUCUCAAAACGAUGUCUUCACCCGUGUCACGCAGUCUCGAA